GUAAGUUGGCGAUGUACUACAGGUUUAACACAGGAUUUAACAACUGGAAUAACUACAUACAGUAUAGCAUCUGUAUCACGGACCACAGAUCAAGGUGUUUGGACAAGUUCACAUGGGAGUGACUCUGGAAACAUUACCAUUACAGUUUACACCAUUCCUACGGUAACAGAAAGUAAUUCGUUAUCCUCUUUGACCUUGUCAUCUGAUAGCAGUACUAGUAACACACAAAGUUUGACCAUCACAGUGACGUGUGCAUAUCCAGCAGUUUCACUUGACUUGUCCUUCGUGCCGACUGGAGGGGGUAAUGAGGAGAAUGCUCCAUCGUCAACAUCAACAUGUACCUCUACUGGUAACACAGGGUGUACUGACCCAGAUGCCAACAGUUAUACCUGUGUCAUAACACCACAAUAUGAGGCAACUCUAUCAGCUGGUACAACAUACUAUAUCAAGGCAGCAGUUAAGCUAGACGGGUUGUCUAUUGGAGUAGACAUCACCAUCAAUGGGACAGAUAUAACAGUGCAAGCAAUCACUACCACUACCACCCCAG